rnacentral:rRNA from 1 species
GAUGAGAUAUCCCAAUAAGUAAGACCCCUUAGAGAGUAUGAGGUAGAUAGGCUGGAGGUGGAAGUGCAGUAAUGUAUGGAGCUGACCAGUACUAAUCGGUCGAGGGCUUAUCCUGA